UGGAGAGUGGAAAAAUUGCUGAGAUGAGUUGGGCCUGGCUUCUUGCUUAGGCUCCAGGAAAUCAGAGUGACUCACAGCUAAGAGAUGGGUCCAAGACAAAUCCACAAGGAGCGAGGGAGCCUGGGACGAGUUUGGAUCACACAGAUGGCACCUGGGCUGAUUAGGAACCUUCUCCUUGAGCCACCUGUUGCUUUAGACAGAUGGAGUUUCUUAUCUGGCUGCAAAUGUUCUUCUUUCUUGAAGUGAAAAUGGAAUUCUUAAAUUAAAAAAAUAUGUUAUCGAGGUAAUUUUGGCAACGUAGUGAAGCAGUGGGAGAAGAGAUAAGACGGAGGGUUCCGGGACCAUAACAAACUGAGGAAACCUUAUCUUUGCUUAGUGUCCCCCUCCCCCUUCCCCAACAGGGUAUGGAGUCACCAGCCUCUGGAAGCCCUGUCAGAGCUGACUGACGGGAGACAGGCUCAUUUGUCCCCUUGAAUGCCAGGGCUUGGACUGCUUUGAGCAAAGGGGACCUCAACAAAGAAGGUCCGGAGUUUUCUGCAAUGAGAAUCCAGGGGGUUAUAUAAUUUGACAAAGAAGGAAUGAAACAAGAGGAGAGAAGAGAUGCAGGAACCCUGUCAUGUGUCAUGUUAGCAAAGCAAAGGCAGACAGGCGGUCGCCUGUGGAUUGCGCCCUCUGCUGGUCUCUAUCAGAAUUUCAACAGCUCACAUUCAGUUGACAUCAGUGAUGUACUAUGCCUUGCACCAGUAUUGAAGACCUAAGAGUUAGGUCCUGGGCUAAAUGUUUUAUGAGUGUGAUACUAAUCACCAUAAAAAUCAUGAGAUGACCCUUACCCCAAUCAGACUGGCUAUGAUCAAGAGAACAAAUGAUACCAAAUGCUGGUGAGGAUGUGGAGAAUUGGGAACGCUCAUUCACUGCUGGUGGGAUUGCAAACU